UACGUAGGUGGCAAGCGUUAUCCGGAUUUAUUGGGUGUAAAGGGCGUGUAGGCGGGAGCGCAAGUCAGAUGUGAAAACUCAGGGCUCAACCCUGAGCCUGCAUUUGAAACUGUGUUUCUUGAGUGCUGGAGAGGCAAUCGGAAUUCCGUGUGUAGCGGUGAAAUGCGUAGAUAUACGGAGGAACACCAGUAGCGAAGGCGGAUUGCUGGACAGUAACUGACGCUGAGGCGCGAAAGCGUGGGGAGCAAACAGG
rnacentral:rRNA from 1 species